AACGAACGCUGGCGGCAGGCCUAACACAUGCAAGUCGAACGGGCGUAGCAAUACGUCAGUGGCAGACGGGUGAGUAACGCGUGGGAACGUACCCUUCGGUUCGGAAUAACCCGGGGAAACUCGGGCUAAUACCGGAUACGUCCGCAAGGAGAAAGAUUUAUCGCCGAAGGAUCGGCCCGCGUCGGAUUAGCUAGUUGGUGGGGUAAUGGCUCACCAAGGCGACGAUCCGUAGCUGGUCUGAGAGGAUGAUCAGCCACACUGGGACUGAGACACGGCCCAGACUCCUACGGGAGGCAGCAGUGGGGAAUAUUGGACAAUGGGCGAAAGCCUGAUCCAGCCAUGCCGCGUGAGUGAAGAAGGCCCUAGGGUUGUAAAGCUCUUUCAGCGGGGAAGAUAAUGACGGUACCCGCAGAAGAAGCCCCGGCUAACUUCGUGCCAGCCGCCGCAGUAACAC
rnacentral:rRNA from 1 species